rnacentral:rRNA from 1 species
AUUGAACGCUGGCGGCAUGCCUUACACAUGCAAGUCGAACGGCAGCGGGGGAGAAGCUUGCUCUUCCUGCCGGCGAGUGGCGAACGGGUGAGUAAUACAUCGGAACGUGCCCUGUAGUGGGGGAUAACUAGUCGAAAGAUUAGCUAAUACCGCAUACGACCUGAGGGUGAAAGUGGGGGACCGCAAGGCCUCAUGCUAUAGGAGCGGCCGAUGUCUGAUUAGCUAGUUGGUGGGGUAAAGGCCUACCAAGGCGACGAUCAGUAGCUGGUCUGAGAGGACGAUCAGCCACACUGGGACUGAGACACGGCCCAGACUCCUACGGGAGGCAGCAGUGGGGAAUUUUGGACAAUGGGCGAAAGCCUGAUCCAGCAAUGCCGCGUGUGUGAAGAAGGCCUUCGGGUUGUAAAGCACUUUUGUCCGGAAAGAAAUGGCUCUGGUUAAUACCUGGGGUCGAUGACGGUACCGGAAGAAUAAGGACCGGCUAACUACGUGCCAGCCGCCGCAGUAAGAC